AGCGGGAUAGCGCAGUCAGGUUAAGCGCGUGAGAGUCAUUAUCUCAAGGUCAGCGGUUCGAAUCCGUUUCCCGCAA
rnacentral:tRNA from 1 species